rnacentral:rRNA from 1 species
AACUCACCAGGAGCGACGGUUACAUGAAGGCCAGGCUUGACUGACCUUGCCUGAUUUUCCGAGAGGUGGUGCAUGGCCGUCGUCAGUUCGUACCGUAAGGCGUUCUCUUAAGUGAGAUAACGAACGAGACCCUCGCCGUUAAUUGCUAGUGUUCUCCCCGGAGGGCACGCACAUUAACGGGACCGCUGUCGCUAAGGACAGAGGAGGGGAGGUCAACGGUAGGUCCGUAUGCCCCGAAUCUCCUGGGCUACACGCGCGCUACAAAGGUUGGGACAAUGGGCUCCGACAUCGAAAGGUGAAGGCAAUCUCGAAACCCAAUCGUAGUUCGGAUUGAGGGUUGUAACUCACCCUCAUGAAGCUGGAUUCCGUAGUAAUCGCUUGUCAACAUCAAGCGGUGAAUAUGCCCCUGCUCCUU